rnacentral:rRNA from 1 species
UGGGGAAUUUUGGACAAUGGGGGCAACCCUGAUCCAGCAAUGCCGCGUGAGUGAAGAAGGCCUUCGGGUUGUAAAGCUCUUUUGUCAGGGAAGAAACGGUAGUAGCGAAUAACUAUUACUAAUGACGGUACCUGAAGAAUAAGCACCGGCUAACUACGUGCCAGCAGCCGCGGUAAUACGUAGGGUGCAAGCGUUAAUCGGAAUUACUGGGCGUAAAGCGUGCCCAGGCGGUUGUGUAAGUCAGAUGUGAAAUCCCCGGGCUCAACCUGGGAAUUGCAUUUGAGACUGCACGGCUAGAGUGUGUCAGAGGGGGGUAGAAUUCCACGUGUAGCAGUGAAAUGCGUAGAUAUGUGGAGGAAUACCGAUGGCGAAGGCAGCCCCCUGGGAUAACACUGACGCUCAUGCACGAAAGCGUGGGGAGCAAACAGGAUUAGAUACCCCAGUAGUCCCUGAGCGGGCUGGCAAGGCGCAU